CCUACGGGUGGCAGCAGUGAGGAAUAUUGGUCAAUGGACGAGAGUCUGAACCAGCCAAGUAGCGUGAAGGAUGACUGCCCUAUGGGUUGUAAACUUCUUUUAUAAAGGAAUAAAACGAGGCACGUGUGCCUUUUUGCAUGUACUUUAUGAAUAAGGAUCGGCUAACUCCGUGCCAGCAGCCGCGGUAAUACGGAGGAUCCGAGCGUUAUCCGGAUUUAUUGGGUUUAAAGGGAGCGUAGAUGGGUUGUUAAGUUAGUUGUGAAAGUUUGCGGCUCAACCGUAAAAUUGCAAUUUAUACUGGCAGUCUAGAGUACAGUUGAGGUAGGCGGAAUUCGUGGUGUAGCGGUGAAAUGCUUAGAUAUCACGAAGAACCCCGAUUGCGAAGGCAGCUUACUAAACUGUGACUGACAUUGAUGCUCGAAAGUGUGGGUAUCAAACAGGAUUAGAUACCCUAGUAGUC
rnacentral:rRNA from 1 species